rnacentral:rRNA from 1 species
GACGAACCGUGCGAACGUUGUUCGGAAUCACUGGGCUUAAAGGGCGCGUAGGUGGUUGAUCAAGUCUGGGGUGAAAUCUUUCGGCUUAACCGGAAAAGUGCCUUGGAUACUGAUCAGCUGGAGGGAGGUAGGGGCAGUUGGAACUUCCAGUGGAGCGGUGAAAUGCGUAGAUAUCGGGAGGAACACCAGUGGCGAAGGCGGCUUCCUGGACCUGUUCUGACACUGAGGAGCGAAAGCGUGGGGAGCGAUCCGG